GACGAACGCUGGCGGCGUGCCUAAUACAUGCAAGUCGAGCGAAGUUUUUCUGGUGCUUGCACUAGAAAAACUUAGCGGCGAACGGGUGAGUAACACGUAAAGAACCUGCCUCAUAGACUGGGACAACUAUUGGAAACGAUAGCUAAUACCGGAUAACAGUAUUUCUCGCAUGAGAGAUAUUUAAAAGUUGGUUAUGCUAACACUAUGAGAUGGCUUUGCGGUGCAUUAGCUAGUUGGUGGGGUAAAGGCCCACCGAGGCGACGAUGCAUAGCCGACCUGAGAGGGGGAUCGGCCACACUGGGACUGGGACACGGCCCAGACUCCUACGGGAGGCAGCAGUAGGGAAUCUUCCGCAAUGGGCGAAAGCCUUACGGAGCAACGCCGCGUGAGUGAAGAAGGAUUUCGGUUCGUAAAGCUCUGUUGUUAGGGAAGAAUGGAUAUGUAGUAACUAUACAUGUAAGAGACGGUACCUAACCAGAAAGCCACGGCUAACUACGUG
rnacentral:rRNA from 1 species